rnacentral:lncRNA from 1 species
CAUGAUUACAUAAUUUUAUUCAAGAAAAAACAUGUGUAUACAUUUGAAUACAAAAACAGUGUAAAAUUUUAUUAAGAAAUAAUUGAUGAUUAAAAAUUUUACGUAUAAAACAAACCAUUUCAGAUAUGAUUUUUUUUAACAUUGCUCAAGGUGACCUCAUAAAAAGCAACUAAGGCACUUCUCUUCAUUUUCUAUACUUCAAAGACAAGUUGUAAAUAUCUGUGUGAAGUCAAGGGAAAAUGUCCAGAUCAUAAGGCUAAAUUUUAAAAAAAGAUGACCAAGACAUUUAAAAGAUAUGGCAUGCUGACUUAAAGGUUUCAAGGAGCCUGUAUGUUAUCGAUUUUUUACCCAUAAAAUUCAUAAAAUGUAGUAAGAAUAAUUCCAAUUAUCUUAAAACCAAAUGGAAUAAAUAAAUAAAAAUUAUCAUUCAUGGGUAUUAACUCAUAGAGGCUUUGCUUGUUCUGAUGUUUGCCUUCACUGCUACUCUUUGUUUAUUAAAGAUUCCAAAAUAAUAGGCAUAGAUAUAAAAAAAAAAAUAUAUGAUAAAUCAUUCAAAGUCAUUUAACAGUUUUGGUCAAAAUGAACAAAAGGUUGAUGUUGACAUUUUAAAGAUUUCUGUCCCUUUAAUUUUCUAUGUAUCUAAAUCAAAUUACAAGAUGAAACACAAAACUUGCAUUCUACCCCGUGUUUUUUUCAUAGCAUUGUCAGCCAUUUUGGUUGGCAAGCAAGUUUAAAGGACAUGUUUAAAAAAACAUUGAUUCCACCUCUUAAUAUUGGACCAGUUUGGCAAAGAAGUUUCAAAGGAGAAGAUUUUUGUGAAAGUUAUGGAGAACAAAAGAAGACUGAUACAGAGUGAUAAAUAAAACUCACUUAGCCUUCCAGCCAAUGUGAGCUAAAAAGGAAAUGUUUACAAAUUAUAUCAAGACAAUAACCAAAGCAAUUUGAAUCUACCUCUGGUUAAAUAAUUAUUCCAAAAUCAAC